GCUGACCAUAUGGAUCAUCCCAUGAAAACUUCGUAGUAGAUAGUGGUCCCAACUGGAUCCAGGCAUCAUCAUCAUCUAAUCCUGACUGGCGAAUGCUAAUCAUAGUACCGACUGUUCUAUUUUCAAUUCUGAAAGGACCAUGUUCUGAUCCCAGACGGAACACAACCAAGAAACGUGAUCCUUCAUCAUAACCACGAACUUCAACCCUCAG
rnacentral:misc_RNA from 1 species